rnacentral:rRNA from 1 species
GACGAACGCUGGCGGCGUGCCUAAUACAUGCAAGUCGAACGAACUGACGCUGGAACUUGUUCCAGUUGACGUGAGUGGCGAACGGGUGAGUAACACGUGGGGAACCUACCCUUCAGCGGGGGAUAACCGUCGGAAACGAUGGCUAAUACCGCAUAACACUUUGUACCACAUGGUACGGAGUUAAAAGACGGCUUCGGCUGUCGCUUAUGGAUGGUCCCGCGGCGUAUUAGUUAGUUGGUGAGGUAAUGGCUCACCAAGACAAUGAUACGUAGCCGGCCUGAGAGGGUGAACGGCCACACUGGGACUGAGACACGGCCCAG